rnacentral:rRNA from 1 species
CUACGGGCUGCACCAGUGAGGAAUAUUGCACAAUGGGGGGAACCCUGAUGCAGCAACGCCGCGUGGAGGAUGACGCAUUUCGGUGUGUAAACUCCUUUUAUAUGUCAAGAAAAUGACGGUAGCAUAUGAAUAAGCACCGGCUAACUCCGUGCCAGCAGCCGCGGUAAUUCGGAGGGUGCAAGCGUUACUCGGAAUCACUGGGCGUAAAGGACGCGUAGGCGGGUUGGAAAGUCAGGUGUGAAAUCCUACAGCUUAACUGUAGAACUGCACUUGAAACUUCUAAUCUAGAGUAUGGGAGGGGGAGAUGGAAUUAGUGGUGUAGGGGUAAAAUCCGUAGAUAUCACUAGGAAUACCUAAAGCGAAGGCGAUCUCCUGGAACAUUACUGACGCUAAGGCGUGAAAGCGUGGGGAGCAAACAGGAUUAGAUACCUGGUAGUC